GCCUAGGUAGCUUGUUUGGAAAAGAGUCUGCCUUGUAAGCGUUAGGCCGCGGGUUCGAUUCCCGCCCGGGGUA
rnacentral:tRNA from 1 species